CUUUUCCAUGCACUUAAUUUUUGUUCCCUUCUUGGCCAUGUUUUUCUUUUUUUCCCUGAAAAUGGGUAGACUAAGAUAACGUGUGAGGAAGCCUUGGCCAUGCCACCAGCCGCUUUUCCCAAAUUCCUGAUCGCUGGAAGACAUCUGGGCCCUUCCUCCUGUUCCAGUCCAGUGGCUUCCAGCAAAGCGUUCCAGAGGCCAGAGGUGGCUCCACCACAGCUUCUGUCCGGUGGUGACCAGCACUGACCCCCGGAGCCAAGGGAGGACCUGGGACACCUGGGAGCCAGGAAAUGUUUUCCGUGGCCGUGAGACAAUGACACCGCUUCAGUGUGUACUCUCAUGAACUGAGUCUAGAUCCCCAGUGCCGUCCGUCUCACCUGUCCUCCUCUGCACAUAUCUGGGAUAUGUCAGUCACGGCUUGGUGGUCUUUGAAGAUGUGGCUGUGAACUUCAUCCAGGAGGAGGGGGCUUUGCUGGAUUUUUCCAUGAAGAAUCUGUAGAGAUGUGAUGAGGGAAGCCAUCAGCACCUGUCUUCUAUAGCUGCAAUCCAAGAGGCCAACUUGAACAUCAACAUGAGACACUAAUCCAGCUGACUGGACACAAUUGGAAAAACUGGUUAUUUUACCAAGGCUUUGCCUGGAAUGGUGUGCUUUCUUCCUUCAAGGAAUCAAAUUUGACUUAUGGAGCCAAUAAAGCCCUUGGAAAGCUGGCCUCAGAUUUUGUGUACACAGUCCCUGUACAGGGUUUCUGAUCUGUGGUAAGUAAAGAAUGUCACAUUUUGACAGGCCAAGAGUCCCAAGUUAUCUUGGAACCUCAAGGAGAGGAAUUCACCCAACUCACAGGUAUUCAGUGGUACAAAUCCAUGGCUGGGCCUGCCUUUAAAAAGGUCUUAUCUCAGAUUCCUUCUACGAAACAAAGUUCCAUCAAAGCCCAUUUAAAGGGCCUAUGUAACAAAUAAUUAUUCUUGCUCCACUGUAUGCAAAUAACUAAGCCAAGUAUAAUAAAGAAACUCAGUCCUACUAGCAUUUGUCUUUUAAUGAAAAUGGUAAACUUGAGAGAGAAAAUUAUGCUUCAAAAACGAUAGCACACCUGUUGUUAAAUUCUGGUGUUGCCCAAUGUUUUUCAAAUCUUGCUAUUUUCUGUUUAAAUUAUUUUCUAAUUUUUCUGGCUACAAGUUUCCAAAAUAGCUGUGCUUUCUAAAAGUCCUAUAAACUGAAAACUUGAUGUUUCAGCAGGCUCUGCCUCUAAGCCCCUUGACUCUCACAGGAGGAAAUAAAUAGGAAAUCUUAAGCUAAAAAUCAUAAAAAAAUAAGUAACCAAGUGAGAAUUACUCAUCCUAUUCAGUCUCACCCCUACCUCAUCAAAUACUUUUAUCGUUCCUACCU